GAUGAACGCUGGCGGCGUGGCUAAUACAUGCAAGUCGAGCGAACAGACGAGGAGCUUGCUCCUCUGACGUUAGCGGCGGACGGGUGAGUAACACGUGGAUAACCUACCUAUAAGACUGGGAUAACUUCGGGAAACCGGAGCUAAUACCGGAUAAUAUAUUGAACCGCAUGGUUCAAUAGUGAAAGACGGUUUUGCUGUCACUUAUAGAUGGAUCCGCGCCGCAUUAGCUAGUUGGGAAGGUAACGGCUUACCAAGGCAACGAUGCGUAGCCGACCUGAGAGGGUGAUCGGCCACACUGGAACUGAGACACGGUCCAGACUCCUACGGGAGGCAGCAGUAGGGAAUCUUCCGCAAUGGGCGAAAGCCUGACGGAGCAACGCCGCGUGAGUGAUGAAGGUCUUCGGAUCGUAAAACUCUGUUAUUAGGGAAGAACAAAUGUGUAAGUAACUAUGCACGUCUUGACGGUACCUAAUCAGAAAGCCACGGCUAACUACGUG
rnacentral:rRNA from 1 species